rnacentral:rRNA from 1 species
UCAAAUGUUUUUUAAAGACUUAGGUUUCUUUAUGAAAUUGGCCCCUGCUCUAUGUUUUUAUAAAUGGCAGUCUUAGCGUGAGGACAUUAAGGUAGCAAAAUAAUUUGUGCUUUUAAUGGGUUCGAGUAUGAAUGGGGUUAUUGGUUAAUUUUUCACUUUAUUUUGAAUGAACUAAAUUUUUAUUUAAAAGGGUAAUAUGUAUAAUUAAACAAAGAUAAGUCUUCGGAAAUUUUUUUAUUAUCUUUUCUUUUGUGGAGGUAAUAUGUUUUCUAGGGUAGGAUAUUGUGUAAUUUUUUUUACUAUUUAUAUUUAAAAAAAUUACUUCGGAGUUAACAGAAAAUCAUGUCGUAACCAGAUUCGUAUGGUAGUGAUAAGUUUUACAUCGAUGUUGUAUUCCAAUUGUGCAAGAGAGGAGAAGGCUUGUUUUUUAAGACUGUUCUUCUAUUAAUUAAAUUGGACGUGAUAUUAGUAUAAUUCAUC